rnacentral:rRNA from 1 species
UAGCGGCGGACGGGUGAGUAACGCGUGAGCAAUCUGUCCUUCACAGGGGGAUAACACUUGGAAACAGGUGCUAAUACCGCAUAAGACCACAGAGUCACAUGACAUAGGGGUCAAAGGAGAAAUUCGGUGAAGGGUGAGCUCGCGUCCCAUUAGAUAGUUGGUGAGGUAACGGCCCACCAAGUCAACGAUGGGUAGCCGACCUGAGAGGGUGAUCGGCCACACUGGGACUGAGACACGGCCCAGACUCCUACGGGAGGCAGCAGUGGGAAUAUUGGGCAAUGGGCGCAAGCCUGACCCAGCAACGCCGCGUAGGGAAGAAGGUUUUCGGAUUGUAAACCUCUGUCCUUAGUGAAGAAGGAAGUGACGGUACCUAAGGAGGAAGCCCCGGCUAACUACGUGCCAGCAGCCGCGGCAAUACGUAGGGGGCAAGCGUUGUCCGGAAUGACUGGGCGUAAAGGGCGUGUAGGCGGCUGCUUAAGUCUGAUGUGAAAUACCCAUUUUUAAGGUGGGUCUUGCAUUGGAAACUGAGUAGCUUGAGUGCGGAAGAGGUAAGUGGAAUUCCCGGUGUAGCGGUGAAAUGCGUAGAGAUCGGGAGGAACACCAGUGGCGAAGGCGACUUACUGG